rnacentral:rRNA from 1 species
UACGUAGGGGGCAAGCGUUGUCCGGAAUCACUGGGCGUAAAGCGCACGUAGGCGGAUCUUUAAGUCAGGGGUGAAAUCCCGAGGCUCAACCUCGGAACUGCCUUUGAUACUGGGGAUCUCGAGUCCGGGAGAGGUGAGUGGAACUGCGAGUGUAGAGGUGAAAUUCGUAGAUAUUCGCAAGAACACCAGUGGCGAAGGCGGCUCACUGGCCCGGAACUGACGCUGAGGUGCGAAAGCGUGGGGAGCAAACAGGG